rnacentral:rRNA from 1 species
CAGUCGCCGCGGUAAUACGUAGGUGGCAAGCGUUGUCCGGAAUUAUUGGGCGUAAAGCGCGCGCAGGCGGAUCAGUCAGUCUGUCUUAAAAGUUCGGGGCUUAACCCCGUGAUGGGAUGGAGACUGUUGAUCUAGAGUAUCGGAGAGGAAAGUGGAAUUCCUAGUGUAGCGGUGAAAUGCGUAGAUAUUAGGAAGAACACCAGUGGCGAAGGCAGCUUCUUGGUCCAUUCCUGACGUUCAUACACGAGAGCGUGGGGAGCAAACAGGAUUAGAUACCCGAGUAGUCCCUGUCUCUUAACAC